UGAAUACGAGACGCUAAGGCGUCGAAGUAGUGUAUGUCAUACUUCCAAGAAAAGCUUGCACUGUCAUAGAUAAAAAACGCCUGUACCAUAACCGACACAGGUGGGUAGGUAGAGUAUACUAAGGGCCGCGAGAUAACUCUCUCUAAGGAACUCGGCAAAAUAACUCCGUAACUUCGGGAGAAGGAGUGCCUUAUUCGUAAGGUUGCAAUAACAAGAUCCAAGCAACUGUUUAUCAAAAACACAGGUCUCCGCUAAGUCGUAAGACGAUGUAUGGGGGCUGACGCCUGCCCAGUGCCAGAAGGUUAAAGAGGUUGGUUAGCAAUUGCGAAGCUGAUAACUGAAGCCCUGGUGAACGGCGGCCGUAACAAUAACGGUCCUAAGGUAGCGAAAUUCCUUGUCGGGUAAGUUCCGACCCGCACGAAAGGCGUAAUGAUUUGGAUACUGUCUCGGAGAGGGGCUCGGUGAAAUAGACUUGUCUGUGAAGAUGCGGACUACCUGCACCAGGACAGAAAGACCCUAUGAAGCUUUACUGUAACUUGAAAUUGAAAUUGGACUUUAUUCGCGCAGUAUAGGUGGGAGGCGUUGAUUAUAAUCUUGUGGGAUUAUUGGAGCCAUCAGUGAGAUACCACUCUUGUAAUGUUAGAUUUCUAACUUUGAAUCAUUAUCUGGUCAAAGAACAGUUUCAGGCGGGCAGUUUGACUGGGGCGGUCGCCUCCUAAACGGUAACGGAGGCGUACAAAGGUUUCCUCUGAACGGUUAGAAAUCGUAUCUAGAGUGUAAAGGCAUAAGGAAGCUUGACUGUUAGACCUACAAGUCGAGCAGGGACGAAAGUCGGUCUUAGUGAUCUGACGGUACUGAGUGGAAAGGCCGUCACUCAACGGAUAAAAGUUACUCUAGGAUAACAGGCUGAUCUCCCCCAAGAGUUCACAUCGACGGGGAGGUUUGGCACCUCGAUGUCGGCUCAUCGCAUCCUGGGGCGGUAGUACGUCCCAAGGGUUGGGCUGUUCGCCCAUGAAAGCGGUACGCGAGCUGGGUUCAGAACGUCGUGAGACAGUUCGGUCCAUAUCCGGUGUAGGCGUUAGAAUAUUGAGAGGAGCCUUCUUUAGUACGAGAGGACCGAGAAGGACAUACCUCUGGUGUACCAGUUAUCGUGCCAACGGUAAACGCUGGGUAGCUAUGUAUGGAGUGGAUAACCGCUGAAAGCAUCUAAGUGGGAAGCCCACCUCAAGAUAAGUAUUCUCAUC
rnacentral:rRNA from 1 species